rnacentral:rRNA from 1 species
UUUGUGGGGUGCUCGAGUGGCGAACGGGUGAGUAACACGUGAGUAACCUGCCCUUGACUUUGGGAUAACUUCAGGAAACUGGGGCUAAUACCGGAUAGGAGCUCCUGCUGCAUGGUGGGGGUUGGAAAGUUUCGGCGGUUGGGGAUGGACUCGCGGCUUAUCAGCUUGUUGGUGGGGUAGUGGCUUACCAAGGCUUUGACGGGUAGCCGGCCUGAGAGGGUGACCGGCCACAUUGGGACUGAGAUACGGCCCAG